rnacentral:rRNA from 1 species
UACGGAGGGUGCAAGCGUUAUCCGGAUUCACUGGGUUUAAAGGGUGUGUAGGCGGGUAUUUAAGUCAGUGGUGAAAUCUCCAGGCUCAACCUGGAAACCGCCAUUGAUACUAUAUAUCUUGAAUUUUGUUGAGGUAGGCGGAAUAUGUCAUGUAGCGGUGAAAUGCAUAGAUAUGACAUAGAACACCAAUUGCGAAGGCAGCUUACUAAGCAAAUAUUGACGCUGAGGCACGAAAGCGUGGGGAUCAAACAGG